CCACCCCUGCGGUGUUCGUGAGGAGCGCAUCCUCCUGAGCCGAUAACUUAUGAACCUGGGAACCGCGCCCUGACUGUGGCUGCCACCUCCAUGUGUGGGGUUUCGCAAAAGCAGUUAUUCACGGGUCCACCUUGACAAAAGGGUUCAGAGAGUGUCAUCCCACGGCACAGGCGGGGGUAUU
rnacentral:other from 1 species